rnacentral:lncRNA from 1 species
UACAUUCAUUGGGGGUUUAGUAUUGGGGGGAGGAGGAGGAGGAGGAAGAAGAAAGAGCCUCAUCCUGAUACUCCCCAGUUUUGUUGCGUAUCGCGGAGCUGCAGAUCCGGCUGGAUGUGUGUCGCACUGGAUACAGAAAACACGCUCCUGCUAUUACAAACUGGAUGUGUGUGUGUGCGUGUGUGCGUGUGUGUGUGUGUGUGUGGGUGUGUGUUGGUUUAGUCAUGAAUUACACCUGAGCCGGGCAUGUAGUUUGCCGGGUUCCUGGGCGUGGGGAGCACGAAGGAAGCAGCUUCUUCUUGUGUUUGUUGGAAUAUUGUUGGAGUGAAACUUCAGCAGUGACUGCAGCAGCUGCGCAGCGCGACGCACGACGCACGUUGUUUCUGCUCCGCUCUGCCUCGAUCACAUCACUUUCAUCACACCAGGAUGUACAUUUGGGAACUUUUUAUUUUGGAAGCACCGUGGACACAGAGGACGAGUUUUAUUUUCUAAGUUUUGAUUCCUUGUUUUGGGGGAAUACAGACAGAAAACACGGCUGUGCAGUGAGAGGGGCAUCCAGAGGAGAGGAGAGCGAGGUUGUUGAUGUCCUCAGAGAUCAACCGGCCUGAACACUGAACAGGAGAGCGAGGUGGUUCAUGUCAUCAGAGACCAACAGGCCCGAACACUAAACAGGUAAGGACGGAUUCUUCCUCCGACUUUUACUUUUUAAAUCUUGUCAUGAAGACUUGUAUGAACUCAACAAUGAGCGUUUUCUUCCCGCUUUACUUUCAAACUACUUUCUCUGAACUUUCAC